rnacentral:rRNA from 1 species
UGCCGGGACCAUCCGGUAAGGCUAAAUACUCCCGAGAGACCGAUAGCGAACCAGUACUGUGAAGGAAAGGUGAAAAGAACCCCGAGCAGGGGAGUGAAAUAGUUCCUGAAACCAUGCGCCUACAAGCGGUCGGAGCAUCGUAAGAUGUGACGGCGUGCCUUUUGCAUAAUGAUCCUACGAGUUACCGUCACUGGCGAGGUUGAGUGUCACGAGACACGUAGCCGCAGUGAAAGCGAGCCUGAACAGGGCGCACAGUUUUUUUAGGGAUACGCCAACCACCGAGAUCUACACUUGGCCAGGAUGAAGUCCCGGUAACACGGGAUGGAGGUCCGCACCAAUAAGCGUUGAAAAGCUUCUGGAUGAGCCGAGUGUAGGAGUGAAAGGCCAAUCAAACUUGGAGAUAGCUCGUACUCCCCGAAAGGCAUUUAGGUGCCGCGUCGGAUGGUCACCGUGAGAGGUAGAGCGACCGAUAGGACAAGAGGGCUUCACCGCCUAUCGAGUCCUGACGAACUCCGAAUGCUCACGGUCUGCAGUCCGGCAGUAAGGGGGCGGGUGCUAAGGUCCGUCCCCGAGAGGAGAAGAAUCCAGACCGCCGUCUAAGGUCCCGGAGUUCUGCCUGAGUUAGUCUAACGAAGUCUGGUCCCUAUGACAGCUAGGAUGUUGGCUUGGAAGCAGCCAUUCAUUCAAAGAGUGCGUAACAGCUCACUAGUCGAGGGUCCGGGCAUGGAUAAUAAUCGGGUAUAAGGCAGACACCGAAGGCGCGGGAUAGCAUUUAAGAAAGUAUCGGUAGGGGAGCAUACUCACAGCGUCGAAUGGUGUACGUAAGUUAUCCUGGAGCGGUGAGUAAAGCAAAUGUAGGAAUAAGUAACGAUAAGGAGGGUUAGAUUCCCUCCCGCUGUAAGACCAAGGUUUCCCGGGCAAUGCCAAUCAGCCCGGGGUCAGUCGGGUCCUAAGUCUAAGCCGAACGGCGAUGGCGAUGGCAGAGACGGUUAAUAUUCCGUCACUGCCGCAUGGGGCGACGUGGAGACGGAGCAGUGAAACCACCGCGGGGCGACGGAAGUCCCCGUUGAAGAGUGUAGGUGUUGAGGAUGGCAGGCAAAUCCACCGUCCGAGCUGAACUUGAUAGUAUGGAGUCUUCUUCGGAAGAAUCCAAUAGUGUGGGUAAUCAUACUCCCGAGAAAAUCCGCUAAGCUUAACCCAUGCGGCACCCGUACCGCAAACGGACACACGUGGUCGGGUAGAACAUACUAAGGCGUUGAGAGAUUCAUGGUUAAGGAACUAGGCAAAUUGACCCUGUAACUUCGGGAUAAAGGGUCCUCGUGAUGAGCGAGGCGCAGAGAAUAGGUCCAGGCAACUGUUUAACAAAAACACAGGGCUGUGCAAACUCGAAAGAUGACGUAUACAGCCUGACACCUGCCCGGUGCCGGAAGGUUAAGAGGAGAUGUCACUCGCAAGAGGAAGCAUUGAAUUGAAGCCCCGGUAAACGGCGGCCGUAACUAUAACGGUCCUAAGGUAGCGAAAUUCCUUGUCGGGUAAGUUC